UUAAGAAAUAGAUGGUACAAAGUCUAAUUUUGCUUCUUUAUGCAAUUGAUUGCUCAUAACCCCAUAAUUAUCAUAAUAGCAAUUUGAUCUUAUCAUCCUUUUCUUAAUGCAAUAAGAAGACAAAUUCUACCUCUUCAAUUACCACCUUCACGGUUAAGAAAUGACUUGGGAUAAGGCCAAGUUUGUUUCAUCCAAUUCCUAUAAGAACCAAAUUAUAGUUAUCAAGUGACUUAGUUAAUCCUAUUUUCUUCCUCCUUCUCUUGCAAGUCUUAGCAACAAACAUACUACUUUCCAACCGUUAAAGAAAUACCGCAAUUACUGUCACCCCUCUUCUCCUACUACCGCCUGACCUCUAUCAUCAUCGGUCAACCGUCGCCGCCCCCCCGUGUGCGCUGCCUCCCCUGUACUGCCCAAAACCACCCAUCCAUUUCUUUCAUUUUGGGUGAUGCGUGCUAUGUUCUUGCCAAGUUAAAGAUUGGUCUUAUGAAAUGAAGCUCUUAAACUUGUUUAUUUAUACACCCAAAAGGAAUCGGACCUCGGAGCUCAGUUAGAACGAUAGAAUAAAGGCUAACAGGAAGAUUGUCAGACUGUAAAUCGAGGUACUGCUGGGGAUGAUGGAGACGAGUAGUAGAGAGGAUUUUUACUUUCAGUUAUCACUUAAUAGUAGUUAUAGUUUUAAGUUGUUUAAUUUGAAUAGUAAGACUAAGCUACUUAGUAAAGUUUGAGAUAAGAUAGGAUUUGCUAUUAUAAAAAAAAUAAGAAUAAUGUUUGUAAUAAAUAGAUUACUAUGUUUUAUAAAUCAAGUUUGUUAAUUAAGUAUGUUUGUUGCCUUGUAAAUCUCGUGAGGGAUUUACGGCAGUGGCGUCCCGACCGUGUUAGGUUAAUUCCGCUGCUAAGAUUAUCUUAAUAACUAAAUUAGAGGUCGGGGCGUUACAUUAUAGUAUAUGGAUAAAGAAGAAUUAAUGUCCCAAAUGAGUGUUUUUUCGUAAUAUAUAAAACGCUUAAUGUAUAAUUAAUUAAAGAAGUGUGUAUAAACCGAAAUCCCAAAAAAAAAAACAAAAAAAUUUAAAAAAGUAUUCGUUCUCAAAUAUAUUAAAUAUAAAAUAACAGAGGAUAUAAUAUAUAUACUACCUCCGCUUCAUAUUAGUUGCAACGUUGGAAUAUUUUUUAUCUCACAAAUUAUACCCCAAAGGUUCAACUAAUAUAAAACGGAGGUAGUGCACAUAUCAUGAAAUCUGACACAAUGUGAACACAAACUUAUCGAGAUAAAACAUAAAGUCUACACGAUACGAAAUUAAACCAACUACAAAUCGUUUAAAUAGAGUGGCCAAUAUGGAGCUAUAUUACAUUGUAUCUUACAAAAUUAACACGAGACAAAACACAAAUAUGACACGAAUUUUGCCAACCCUACUCAAAAGCAAAAUGUUUAAUUUUUUAAUAAUAAUAUUUUUAAGAUUUAGCAAACAACACAAAAUGAACACACGACCAAAUAUGAAAACGAUACUGAUUUUUGCUUGUCCUACUCUUAGUAAGAGUAAAACAUAAAUCAGACUCGUGAUCAAAGAAAUUAAGUUAUUUAAAAAGCCAAAAUUAAAAAAAAAAUAAAAAAAUUCAAACUUGUUGGAGUUAAAAAAAAAAUAAAAAAAAAUAAAAAAAAAUAAAAUCUGCAGCUUGCAAGUCAUCAACAAUUGGGACUUGAAUGGAAUUUUACAAAAACAAAACACUGUACAACUACCCUUUUCUAUCAAACCUUGUUUUCCCUUUUUAGAAUAGCAUAGAAAAAAAUAAUAAAAAAAUUAAAAAAAAAAAAAAAAACAAGUAAAUGUCGCAUCUUGCAAGUCAUCAACAAUUGGGACUUGAAUGGAAUUUUACAAAAACAAAAACACUGUACAACUACCCUUUUCUAUCAAACCUUGUUUUCUCUUUUUAGAA